GAUGAAGAACGUAGCGAAAUGCGAUAAGUAGUGUGAAUUGCAGAAUUCAGUGAAUCAUCGAAUCUUUGAACGCACAUUGCGCCCCUUGGUAUUCCAUGGGGCAUGCCUGUUCGAGCGUCAUUUGUACCUUCAAGCUCUGCUUGGUGUUGGGUGUUUGUCUCGCCUCUGCGUGUAGACUCGCCUCAAAACAAUUGGCAGCCGGCGUAUUGAUUUCGGAGCGCAGUACAUCUCGCGCUUUGCACUCAUAACGACGACGUCCAAAAGUACAUUCUUACACUCUUGACCUCGGAUCAGGUAGGGAUACCCGCUGAACUUAAGCAUAUCAAUAAGCGGAGGA
rnacentral:misc_RNA from 1 species